rnacentral:rRNA from 1 species
CCGGUUGAUCCUGCCGGACCUGACUGCUAUCGGAUUGAUACUAAGCCAUGCGAGUCUUUGUAGUAAUACAAGGCAGACGGCUCAGUAACACGUAGUCAACCUACCCUAUGGACAAGAAUAAUCUCGGGAAACUGGGCAUAAUUCUUGAUAGAUCAUAAUGCCUGGAAUGGUUUAUGGUUAAAAUGAUUCGUCGCCAUAGGAUGGGACUGCGGCCUAUCAGCUUGUUGGUGAGGUAAUGGCCCACCAAGGCGAUUACAGGUACGGGCUCUGAGAGGAGAAGCCCGGAGAUGGGUACUGAGACACGGACCCAGGCCCUAUGGGGCGCAGCAGGCGAGAAAACUUUGCAAUGUGCGAAAGCACGACGAGGUUAAUCCGAGUGAUUUCUGCUAAAGAAAUCUUUUGCCAGUCAUAAUACCACUGGUGAAUAAGGGGUGGGCAAGUUCUGGUGUCAGCCGCCGCGGUAAAACCAGCACCUCAAGUGGUCAGGAUGAUUAUUGGGCCUAAAGCAUCCGUAGCCGGCUUUGUUAGUUUUCGGUUAAAUCCAUGUGCUCAACGCAUGGGCCGCCGAAAAUACUGCAUGGCUAGGGAGUGGGAGAGGUAGACGGUACUCAGUAGGAAGGGGUAAAAUCCUUUGAUCUAUUGAUGACCACCUGUGGCGAAGGCGGUCUACCAGAACACGUUCGACGGUGAGGGAUGAAAGCUGGGGGAGCAAACCGGAUUAGAUACCCGGGUAGUCCCAGCUGUAAACGAUGCAGACUCGAUGAUGCAUUGGCAUAAUAGCCAGUGCAGUGUCGCAGGGAAGCCGUUAAGUCUGCCGCCUGGGAAGUACGUACGCAAGUAUGAAACUUAAAGGAAUUGGCGGGGGAGCACCACAAGGGGUGAAGCCUGCGGUUCAAUUGGAUCAACGCCGGG